AUUGAACGCUGGCGGCAGGCUUAACACAUGCAAGUCGAGCGGGGGAGGUUGCUUCGGUAACUGACCUAGCGGCGGACGGGUGAGUAAUGCUUAGGAAUCUGCCUAUUGGUGGGGGACAACAUUCCGAAAGGGAUGCUAAUACCGCAUACGCCCCACGGGGGAAAGCAGGGGAUCUUCGGACCUUGCGCUAAUAGAUGAGCCUAAGUCGGAUUAGCUAGUUGGUGGGGUAAAGGCCUACCAAGGCGACGAUCUGUAGCGGGUCUGAGAGGAUGGUCCGCCACACUGGGACUGAGACACGGCCCAGACUCCUACGGGAGGCAGCAGUGGGGAAUAUUGGACAAUGGGCGGAAGCCUGAUCCAGCCAUGCCGCGUGUGUGAAGAAGGCCUUUUGGUUGUAAAGCACUUUAAGCGAGGAGGAGGCUCUUAAGGUUAAUACCCUUGAUGAGUGGACGUUACUCGCAGAAUAAGCACCGGCUAACUCUGUGCCAGCCGCCGCUGUAAGAC
rnacentral:rRNA from 1 species